UACGGUUGAGACGCCACCGGCCGGGGCGUUCUCCCGAAAAACCUCACCAGGACACUUAUUGAUCUGGACACCGGACCUCUGCGGUUCAAUAUCCACUUUUAUGAAACUCUCCGGAAAAGUUUUUUGGAUUCCAAUUCAGUACCAGCCAUCAAGCCUGUAAUAACUAGUGACACUACUUCAUUCUAAUCAGUUCAUCCAUCUAUUAUCCUUUAAGGAUAGUGACCCCAGCAUAUCUCCAUGUCCACCCAGGCAUUAUUUCAGAAGAACUCCUGGAGUGCUCCGGAGUGCCCAUCACAACUGAACUCCAUGCAAAAAAAAUGUUUGUGGGUUUUGAAGAAACUGGAGGCCAUUGGCCAUGAGGAAGAGGACAGAAGCUGGAAUCUGUCCACACAUCACAUUUUUAGAAGGGGCUCUUCUAAGUACGAAAGACUCUUGUCAUGAAGGGACUGAAUAAUUCUUAGGCUGCAGCAGCAUUAAAAGUGGCAUUUUGUGUUGAAUCUGCAGAUACCACUUAUAAGCCGUGUUCAGCUAUUUUUACCUUGUUAUUGUUCGAUGCGUUGUUAGACACAAGUAUUGAUCGAUCCUUCAUCUGAAUACCUCAAAGCCUCACCUCUCUCUUCUGAGCUUUCAAGUUCUUGCCGUAUAACAAGAUAUAUACAGUGGGGAUCAAAAGUUU